CUCCUUUGUUACCCUGGCAACCGGAGUUUAAAGCUUCCAGCGGCUAACGUAAAGGAAACUAGCCACAUGAGGAGGACACUAUGGAUGACACGCCACAAGUCCGGCUACAACACAGCAGCUAAGCAGAAAAGGCUGCGACUUUCAAAGUGGAUACAAGAGGUCUUGUAAGGUCCAGUCCGAAAGCGUGAAAAGCGCUGCCUCAGUACGGCAAAAGGAAACGGCUGUGGGGGCCCAAACUUUGGUCACUGUAGCUUUGUCCAGUUCAACACACAUGAGCUAACUUGGCUUACUUUAGCAGAUCUGGUGACGCACCUCAAGUGACCUCCGGUGGCUUAGGAUGGACAAACGAGUCAAUUCUCACAACUCUUUUAUUCACUGAAAUUCCCACGGUAAAUGAGUUAGAUUUCCUUCAGCUGCCUGACACUUUAUACAUAACUGGCUAUUUACU